CUUAAACAACACAAUGUAACUCCAAGUCAAUCACACUUCUGUGAAAUCAAACUGUCCACUUAGGAAGCAACACUGAGUGACAAUCAAUUUCACAUGCUGUUAUGCAAAUGGAAUAGACAACAGGUGGAAAUUAUAGGUAAUUAGCAAGACGCCCCCAAUAAAGGAGUGGUUCUGCAGGUGGUGACCACAGACCACUUCUCAGUUCCUAUGCUUCCUGGAUGAUGUUUUGGUCACUUUUGCAUGCUGGCGGUGCUUUCACUCUAGUGGUAGCAUGAGACGGAGUCUACAACCCACACAAGUGGCUCAGGUUGUGCAGCUCAUCAAGGAUGGCACAUCAAUGCGAGCUGUGUCUGUCAGCGUAGUGUCCAGAGCAUGGAGGCGCUACCAGGAGAAAGGCCAGUACAUCAGGAGACGUGGAGGAGGGAAACAACCCAGCAGCAGGACCGCUACCUCCGCCUUUGUGCAAGGAGGAACAGGAG